GAGGGUGGCCUGGCUGUGACAUCUGUCACCCCAUUGAUCGCCAGGGUGAUGCGGCUGAUGUGGCUGGCCAGCUUGGUCGAAGCGGACAACCUUC
rnacentral:sRNA from 1 species